rnacentral:misc_RNA from 1 species
UUAACUUUAUUUAUAAUAUUACUCAGACAACACAAAAAUCAAGAGUUUGGGGUCCUCUGGCAGGCGCGGACCAGCCUAAGCCGGUGGUCAACAGACGGGCCUGCCAAAGCAACAUAGGUAAUGUAAACAAAGGGUGGGAGAUCUACCCCAAAGGGCAAUUUCUCUGUAAUGAUCCUUCCGCAGGUUCACCUACGGAAA